CAAUAGCGUAUAUUUAAGUUGUUGCAGUUAGAAAGCUCGUAGUCGGAUUUUGGCUGAGAACGAUCGGUCCGCCGUUAGGUGUGCACUGAUUGGUCUCAGCUUCCUGGUGAGGAGGUGUGCUUCACGGCCACUUAGUCACCGUGGUUACUUUGAAAAAAUUAGAGUGUUCAAAGCGGGCUUACGCUUGAAUAUAUUAGCAUGGAAUAACACCAUAGGACUCCUGUCCUAUUUCGUUGGUCUCGGGACGGGAGUAAUGAUUAAGAGGAACAGUUGGGGCAUUCGUAUUUCAUUGUCAGAGGUGAAAUUCUUGGAUUUAUGAAAGACGAACUUCUGCGAAAGCAUUUGCCAAGGAUGUUUUCAUUGA
rnacentral:rRNA from 1 species